rnacentral:rRNA from 1 species
AUUGAACGCUGGCAGCAUGCCUUACACAUGCAAGUCGAACGGUAACAGGUCUUCGGAUGCUGACGAGUGGCGAACGGGUGAGUAAUACAUCGGAACGUGCCUAGUAGUGGGGGAUAACUACUCGAAAGAGUGGCUAAUACAGCAUGAGAUCUACGGAUGAAAGCAGGGGAUCGCAAGACCUUGUGCUACUAGAGCGGCCGAUGGCAGAUUAGGUAGUUGGUGGGAUAAAAGCUUACCAAGCCGACGAUCUGUAGCUGGUCUGAGAGGACGAUCAGCCACACUGGGACUGAGACACGGCCCAGACUCCUACGGGAGGCAGCAGUGGGGAAUUUUGGACAAUGGGCGAAAGCCUGAUCCAGCAAUGCCGCGUGCAGGAUGAAGGCCUUCGGGCUGUAAACUGCUUUUGUACGGAACGAAAAGCCCCGGGUUAAUACCCUGGGGUCAUGACGGUACCGUAAGAAUAAGCACCGGCUAACUACGUGCCAGCCGCCGCCGUAA